UACGUAGGGGGCGAGCGUUGUCCGGAUUUAUUGGGCGUAAAGAGCUCGUAGGCGGCUUGGCAAGUCGGGUGUGAAACCUCCAGGCUCAACCUGGAGACGCCACUCGAUACUGCUAUGGCUAGAGUCCGGUAGGGGACCACGGAAUUCCUGGUGUAGCGGUGAAAUGCGCAGAUAUCAGGAGGAACACCGGUGGCGAAGGCGGUGGUCUGGGCCGGCACUGACGCUGAGGCACGAAAGCGUGGGGAGCAAACAGG
rnacentral:rRNA from 1 species